rnacentral:rRNA from 1 species
AGCUCAAAUUUGAAAUCCGGGGCACCCAGCCCCCGAGUUGUAAUUUCGAGAGGCAUCUUCUGGGGGGAGCGUCGGCCCAUGUUCCUUGGAACAGGACGUCACAGAGGGUGAGAAUCCCGUGCAUGGCCGGCUGCCCCCUCCGCCGUGAAGGGCCUUCGACGAGUCGAGUUGUUUGGGAAUGCAGCUCCAAGUGGGUGGUAAAUUUCAUCUAAAGCUAAAUACCGGCGGGAGACCGAUAGCGCACAAGUAGAGUGAUCGAAAGAUGAAAAGCACUUUGAAAAUAGAGUCAAAAAGUACGUGAAAUUGUUGAAAGGGAAGCGCUUGAGACCAGACUCAGGCCCAGGCAAACACCGAUCCCCUCGGGGCCGUGCAAUUGCCUGGGCCUGGGCCAGCAUCAGUUGGCGUGGCGGGACAAAGGCACGGGCAAUGUGGCUCCCCUCGGGGAGUGUUAUUAGGCCCGCGCUCAAUGCCGCCGACGUCGACUGAGGACCGCGCCUCGGCUAGGAUGCUGGCUUAAUGGCCUUCAGCGACCCGUCUUGAAACACGGACCAAGGAGUCUAACACCUAUGCGAGUGUUUGGGCGUCAAACCCUUGCGCGCAAUGAAAGUGAGCGGAGGUGGGAACCCCUCCACGGGCGCACCAUCGACCGAUCCUGAUGUCUUCGGAUGGAUUUGAGUAGGAGCAUAGCUGUUGGGACCCGAAAGAUGGUGAACUAUGCCUGAAUAGGGUGAAGCCAGAGGAAACUCUGGUGGAGGCUCGCAGCGGUUCUGACGUGC